rnacentral:rRNA from 1 species
UACAGAGGUGGCAAGCGUUGUUCGGAAUUACUGGGCGUAAAGGGCGCGUAGGCGGUUCGUUAAGUCCUGUGUGAAAUCCCCCGGCUCAACUGGGGAACUGCACAGGAAACUAGCGGGCUUGAGUUCGGGAGAGGGAAGCGGAAUUCCGGGUGUAGCGGUGAAAUGUGUAGAUAUCCGGAGGAACACCGGUGGCGAAGGCGGCUUCCUGGACCGACACUGACGCUGAGGCGCGAAAGCUAGGGGAGCAAACGGG